AGAUGUGUGAGAGAUCUUGCUGUAACAGCUGUCGCUCCACUGAUGGCCACGGUUGAUUUGACUGAUCUGGCUGACUAGGCAGGUAUUUCCUUCCUUCCUCACGGUUCCAUGUGUCUCUCCUGAAGUUGCAUGCUAGGUGGAAGAGGUCACCUUUCUUGAUAGAGAAGGAUCAUUCUUCCAUCAAGCAUAUACAAGUAGCUGUGUUCUCCUUCUAGAACUUUCAGACAAGUUCUCAAAAAAAAAAAAAAAAGACACUGAGCCAAAAGGUGUCAG
rnacentral:snRNA from 1 species